CGAUUUGAGGUCAAGGUUUUCUUUUGUGGGACCAGCCUCUCCCGCCAAAGUAGACGGCAAAGACCAGAGCACCAUCGUUGUCCAUGGGACAGUUAGGAGCAGGCAUCCAAAGGGACAGUGCUAAAUCCAAAACGUAGAAACAUCUUAUCACGUCAAGGACCAGCAAAGCAGACCCCCACUAAUUCAUUUAAGAGGAGCUCACUUUCCAAGAUGAAAGGCAAGCAUUGAACCUCCAAAUCCAAAAAUCCUUUUUCAGCAAAAGCAGAAAAAGGUUUUUGAUAAUUUCACGACACUCAAACGGGUGUGCCCCUCGGAAUGCCAAGGGGCGCAAGGUGCGUUCAAAGAUUCGAUGAUUCACUGAAUUCUGCAAUUCACAUUACGUAUCGCAUUUCGCUGCGUUCUUCAUCGAUGCGAGAGCCAAGAGAUCCGUUGUUGAAAGUUGUAUUGAUUGCGUGUGAUCGCAAAAGAAGACAUUCUACACUGUAUCUAGUUUUGUGUGAAAACGCAAGCCCUCCUGCAAAAGGUGGACCCACGCGGUGAUGCACAAAGGGGUGAGAUGGAUGUGUGAGAGUGCUCGGGCGUGCACAACCUUUUUUGAAAAGUCAGCGACAGCCUUCACACCUCA
rnacentral:misc_RNA from 1 species